CUGCAGUCGAACGCCCCGCAAGGGGAGUGGCGGAAGGGUGAGUAACGCGUAGGAAUCUGCCUUGGAUUGGGGGAUAACCUGGGGAAACUCGGGCUAAUACCGCAUAUUGCCGAGAGGUGAAAGAAUUUUGAUCCAAGUUGAGCCUGCGUAUGAUUAGCUAGUUGGUAGGGUAAUGGCCUACCAAGGCAACGAUCAUUAGCUGGUCUGAGAGGAUGAUCAGCCACAAUGGAACUGAGACACGGUCCAUACUUCUACGGAAGGCAGCAGUAGGGAAUUUUGCGCAAUGGGCGAAAGCCUGACGCAGCAAUGCCGCGUGUAGGAAGAAGCAUCUUGGUGUGUAAACUACUGUCGGCGGGGAAAAACAAAAUGAUUGUACCCGCAAAGGAAGCAUCGGCUAACUACGUGCCAGCAGCCGCGGUAAGACGUAGGAUGCAAGCGUUGUCCGGAUUUAUUGGGCGUAAAGAGUUCGUAGGCGGCGAUCCAUGUCUAAUGUUAAAUCAUAGAGCUUAACUCUAUACCUGCAUUGGAAACUGGAUUGCUUGAGCAAGGUAGGGGUCAGAAGAAUUCCUGGUGUAGCGGUGAAAUGCGUAGAUAUCAGGAGGAACACCGGUGGCGAAAGCGUCUGACUGGGCCUUUGCUGACGCUGAGGAACGAAAGCUAGGGGAGCGAAAGGGAUUAGAUACCCCUGUAGUCCUAGCCAUAAACGAUGGAUACUAGUUGUUGCGGGUAUCGACCCCCGCGGUGACGAAGCUAACGCAUUAAGUAUCCCGCCUGGGAAGUACGUUCGCAAGAAUGAAACUCAAAGGAAUUGACGGGGACCCGCACAAGCGGUGGAACAUGUGGUUUAAUUCGAUGCAACGCGAAAAACCUUACCUGGCCUUGACAUGUCUGGAAUCCGGUAGAGAUAUCGGAGUGCCUUCGGGAACCAGAACACAGUGCUGCAUGGUUGUCGUCAGCUCGUGUCGUGAGAUGUUGGGUUAAGUCCCGCACGAGCGCACCC
rnacentral:rRNA from 1 species